AAACUACUCCCUCCGUUCGGAAUUACUUGUCGCAGAAAUGGAUGUAUCUAGAUGUAUUUUAGUUCUAUAUACAUCCAUUUCCGAGACAAGUAAUUCCGAACGGAGGGAGUAGUAA
rnacentral:pre_miRNA from 1 species